CAAAAAAUAGUUUAAUUAAAAUAAUAAUUUUGGAGAUUAUUGAUAGUAUUCAUGUAUUUUUUUUGA
rnacentral:tRNA from 1 species